rnacentral:rRNA from 1 species
CAGUCGCCGCGGUAAUACGGAGGGUGCAAGCGUUAAUCGGAAUUACUGGGCGUAAAGCGCACGCAGGCGGUCUGUCAAGUCGGAUGUGAAAUCCCCGGGCUUAACCUGGGAACUGCAUUCGAAACUGGCAGGCUGGAGUCUCGUAGAGGGGGGUAGAAUUCCAGGUGUAGCGGUGAAAUGCGUAGAGAUCUGGAGGAAUACCGGUGGCGAAGGCGGCCCCCUGGACGAAGACUGACGCUCAGGUGCGAAAGCGUGGGGAGCAAACAGGAUUAGAGACCCGUGUAGUCCCUGUCUUUUAUAC